UGAGGAAUAUUGGGCAAUGCCCGCAAGGGUGACCCAGCAACGCCGCGUGGAGGAUGAAUGUCGUAAGAUUGUAAACUCCUGUUAGAGGGGAAGAAUAGUACCGGUUGGACCGGUAUAUGACUGUACCCUCAGAGAAAGCACCGGCUAACUCCGUGCCAGCAGCCGCGGUAAUACGGAGGGUGCGAGCGUUAUCCGGAUUUAUUGGGUUUAAAGGGUCCGUAGGCGGGCCUGUAAGUCAGUGGUGAAAUCUCAUAGCUUAACUAUGAAACUGCCAUUGAUACUGCAGGCCUUGAGUAAAUUUGAAGUGGCUGGAAUAAGUAGUGUAGCGGUGAAAUGCAUAGAUAUUACUUAGAACACCGAUUGCGAAGGCAGGUCACUAAGAUUUAACUGACGCUGAUGGACGAAAGCGUGGGGAGCGAACA
rnacentral:rRNA from 1 species